CUGGCGGCGUGCCUAAUACAUGCAAGUCGAACGCACUCUCGUUUAGAUUGAAGGAGCUUGCUCCUGAUUGAUAAACAUUUGAGUGAGUGGCGGACGGGAGAGUAACACGUGGGUAACCUGCCCUAAAGUGGGGAUAACAUUUGGAAACAGAUGCUAAUACCGCAUAAAACCUAACACCGCAUGGUGUAGGGUUGAAAGAUGGUUUCGGCUAUCACUUUAGGAUGGACCCGCGGUGCAUUAGUUAGUUGGUGAGGUAAAGGCUCACCAAGACCGUGAUGCAUAGCCGACCUGAGAGGGUAAUCGGCCACACUGGGACUGAGACACGGCCCAGACUCCUACGGGAGGCAGCAGUAGGGAAUCUUCCACAAUGGACGAAAGUCUGAUGGAGCAACGCCGCGUGAGUGAAGAAGGUUUCGGAUCGUAAAACUCUGUUGUUGGAGAAGAAUGUAUCUGAUAGUAACUGAUCAGGUAGUGACGGUAUCCAACCAGAAAGCCACGGCUAACUACGUG
rnacentral:rRNA from 1 species